rnacentral:rRNA from 1 species
GACGGAGGGUGCAAGCGUUGCUCGGAAUCACUGGGCGUAAAGGGUGCGUAGGCGGUCUCGCAAGUCUGGCGUGAAAGCCCAAGGCUCAGCCUUGGAAGUGCGCUCGAAACGGCGAGGCUGGAGUGCCGGAGGGGAGAGUGGAAUUCCCGGUGUAGCGGUGAAAUGCGUAGAGAUCGGGAGGAACACCAGUGGCGAAGGCGAGUCUCUGGGAUGAUGCUGACGCUGAGGCGCGAAAGCCAGGGGAGCAAACGGG